rnacentral:snRNA from 1 species
AUCCCUUCUCGGCCUCUUAGCUAAAAUCAAGUGUAGUAUCCAUGCUUGUGGGUUUUAUGCCACACAUAUCUUCAGUAUGAGGACUGAGUAUAUCCUCA